rnacentral:rRNA from 1 species
AUGAACGCUGGCGGCGUGUUUAAGGCAUGCAAGUCGAACGAGUAAGUGGAGCAAUCCACUUGCAAGUGGCAAACGGGUGCGUAACACAUUGGUAACCUGCCCCUAUCUCGUGAACAACCAAUCGAAAGGUUGGCUAAUACACGAUGGUCUGUCAAAGUGAAAUUCUUUGACAGUAAAGAUUUAUCGGAUAGGGAGGGGCCUAUGGCUUAUCAGCUUGUUGGUGAGGUAAAAGCUCACCAAGGCUAUGACGAGUAGCGGGUGUGAGAGCACGACCCGCCUCACUGGGACUGAGACACUGCCCAGACACCUACGGGUGGCUGCAGUCGAGAAUAUUCCUCAAUGCACGAAAGUGUGAAGGAGCGACGCCGCGUGAUUGAUGAAGCCCUUCGGGGUGUAAAGAUCUUUUUUAAGGGACGAAUUAUUGACGGUACCUUAAGAAUAAGAGGUUGCUAACUCUGU